GUAGGGAAUAUUGGGCAAUGGUCGGAAGACUGACCCAGCCAUGCCGCGUGCAGGAAGACGGCCCUCUGGGUUGUAAACUGCUUUUAUCUGGGAAGAAAAAGGCCAUGCGUGGCAAAUUGCCGGUACCAGAUGAAUAAGCACCGGCUAACUCCGUGCCAGCAGCCGCGGUAAUACGGAGGGUGCGAGCGUUGUCCGGAUUUAUUGGGUUUAAAGGGUGCGUAGGCGGCUGAUUAAGUCAGCGGUGAAAGACUUCGGCUUAACCGGAGCAGUGCCGUUGAUACUGGUUGGCUUGAGUGUCGGAGGGGUACAUGGAAUUGAUGGUGUAGCAGUGAAAUGCAUAGAUACCAUCAGGAACACCGAUAGCGAAGGCAUUGUACUGGCCGACAACUGACGCUGAUGCACGAAAGUGUGGGGAUCGAACAGGAUUAGAUACCCCGGUAGUCC
rnacentral:rRNA from 1 species